UUAUAAUCUAUUGUUUCUAGGGCUGUCAAAUGAGCGAGCCGGCUCGCGUUCGGCUCGAUAUUUAGCCCGCUCGAGCUCAACUCAAAAUUAUAGUAUUACUCGGCUGGCUCGAAUUAGACUCGAAAUACGAAUUUAGUUAAAAUUUGGCUAAUAUUGCUCGCCCAUCAAAACAAACCCAAUAGGUAAACAAAAUGACAAAAUUUUACUAAAUUUACACAUUCUCUCUCUUUCUUUUAGAACUCUAAAUCUCUAAUCUCUUUCUCUCUCUUUUUUUUCUCUGUCUCUCAGCCCAAGAGACUAGGUAAAAGCCCACGAGUUACCAAAUAACAGCACGUGCCUGCCGUUGUCUAUCUUGCCAUUAGUUGUGUACUUGGAAAAAUAUACAUAAUAUUUUUUAGGUAAAACAUUAUUGUUUACACAAAAUUUUGAUUUUAGUUAUAUAUGAUUGGAUAGUUUAAUUCAAUAAUUGGUUGUAUAAUUUUUUUUUGACCGCAUAAAUAAGAAAAGAAUAAUAUGAAAGGCAAAAGAGAAGAUAUGCGAGGCGGAAAAUGUUAGAUAUUUAAUUCAUAAGUUAUUUUCUUUCGUAUUAUAAUACCGUAUUUUAUAUAAUUAUUUUGUAUUUUGAACUAUUAGAUAUAUUUUUGUAUCAAAUUAUAAACAAAUGUUUUAUACAGAAUAAACUAUUGAUCGUACAAUAUUGAGAAUUUCAAACCGCUUAUUUAGGACUUGAGCUCGCUCGAAUCGAAAUUAAGCUCGCUCGAGUUCGAAUCGAAUUAAUUUUAAGUCAAACUUAAAUCUAAAUUUAGACUCGCAAUUAAUUUCAAGUCGAAUUUGAGCCGAGAUCAGCUCAUUU
rnacentral:lncRNA from 1 species